GUGAUUUCCUACAUGCUGGCAGAGCAGAGCAGCAGUUUGUGCUCACAGAUGGUGACGGUGUGGAGAGACGGUGGUGUUUCCUCAGAAGAACCAGCAGAGUCACAAAGGACACCAGUCCAUCUCACCACCUUGACUUGCUGACUGAUGCUCGUCUGCACUGCACAGAGGAAAUCAACUGACCGAGGAGUGUUUCUGAGUGAGGGGGAGAGGAGUCAUCAUCCAGGUAAAGUGACGUGGAUCAGUGGAUACACUUGUCUCCCCUUUAAAGGAGACGAUCCAAGUCAUCCUUAAAUAUGGGCAGCAUAUCAGUCUUGGACUGUCUAACCUGCAGCACUGAAUGACCACCACACAUGAGCAUGUUCCUGCAACAUUCAGCAUCUGAUCUGUCAUCUGUGUGCUUCUGCUUUUGUGUCACAUGUCAAACAGCUGGAGAGGAAACUACACCAGUGUACUGAGAUGUUUCACCAACACGUGGCAGAUGCUGUUCCUUCAUGGUGACAUCACCAGAGACAGCCCCGCCCACCUCAGGACCUCGCCAUUGAUCAUAAUGAUUAUAAUAAUGACAGCGAGCGGAACUAAGACUGUAAAAAUCCACGACAGGAAUUUUUCUUUCUAAUUAUUAAUGAAUAGUGAGAGCCUCUUUCUGUGUUUUGUCUGUUUUGGGGUUGUUGUUUUUUUUUUACCUCAUUUGUUACUAACAAAGUUCA
ensembl:lncRNA